rnacentral:lncRNA from 1 species
CUAUUGUUGAAUUACAGCUGUCAAAACCAAGAUCAUCAGAUCUUCUAGCAGGCCUCUUCAAGAGACCACCUUGCCAAACAACAUAAAGAUCCAUACUGCAGAAAUACUGCCUUUGCAAGCAGUGACAGCUCCUGCUGGUCAACCCCAAAGCUGCUUCAUUUUCAAGGUGGGAAAGAGUGCAUGCAGUGACAUCUGGUUUCUGGUCUGUCUUUCUGGAUUGGUGGAGUAAUAGAAGAUAGCAUUUAUGGAUUCCUCCCAGCUCCAAGAUUGUGUCACAGAGCUGAGACUGUUGUAGUGAGAAUUUGCAACAUCCAUUAGAACUAAUGAAUUAGUACUGUAUAUCUUGUAAUCACCAUUAUGUAAACAUUAGUAGUACAGAAUAAUAUCUUUUUCAGCCUACUAUUGACAGAUUUGUUAUUAAUUAUCUCAGUGAAAAAGUUCUUAUUUACCAAUACAGUUUGUAACUUAAAAUGUCUGUCAAGUUGAGAAUUCUACAUCAUACCUGUCUAUAGUGAAAUCCUGAUAUAUGAAAUUUCUGAAUUAGUCUCUUUAGUAGUCUAAUGUGUUCUCUGUAGUAGUCAUGUAUUUGUAGCAUGCUUGACAAGAAGGAGCUGUCAUCAUCUUA